AGAUUGAACGCUGGCGGCAGGCCUAACACAUGCAAGUCGAGCGGUAGAGAGGUGCUUGCACCUCUUGAGAGCGGCGGACGGGUGAGUAAUGCCUAGGAAUCUGCCUAGUGGUGGGGGAUAACGUUCGGAAACGGACGCUAAUACCGCAUACGUCCUACGGGAGAAAGCGGGGGACCUUCGGGCCUCGCGCCAUUAGAUGAGCCUAGGUCGGAUUAGCUAGUUGGUGAGGUAAUGGCUCACCAAGGCGACGAUCCGUAACUGGUCUGAGAGGAUGAUCAGUCACACUGGAACUGAGACACGGUCCAGACUCCUACGGGAGCAGCAGUGGGGAAUAUUGGACAAUGGGCGAAAGCCUGAUCCAGCCAUGCCGCGUGUGUGAAGAGGUCUUCGGAUUGUAAAGCUACUUUAAGGUGGUAGGAAGGUUAGUAACUUAAGUACGUUGACUAACGUUUGACGUUACCGACAGAAUAAGCACGCUAACUCGAGCCAGCGACGCCG
rnacentral:rRNA from 1 species